AACGAACGCUGGCGGCAGGCCUCAUACAUGCAAGUCUAACGGGUGUAGCAAUACAUCAGUGGCGCACGGGUGAGUAACGCGUGGGAAUAUGCCCUUGACUACGGAACAACCUCGGGAAACUGAGGCUAAUACCGUAUAAUGUCUCCGGACCAAAGAUUUAUCGGUCAAGGAUUAGCCCGCGUCUGAUUAGGUAGUUGGUGAGGUAACGGCUCACCAAGCCUACGAUCAGUAGCUGGUCUGAGAGGAUGAUCAGCCACACUGGGACUGAGACACGGCCCAGACUCCUACGGGAGGCAGCAGUAAGGAAUAUUGGACAAUGGGGGAAACCCUGAUCCAGCCAUGCCGCGUGAGUGAAGAAGGCCUUCGGGUUGUAAAGCUCUUUUACCCCUGACGAUAAUGACGGUAAGGGGAGAAAAAGCCACGGCUAACUUCGUGCCAGCAGCCGCCGUAA
rnacentral:rRNA from 1 species